rnacentral:rRNA from 1 species
UACGAAGGGGGCUAGCGUUGUUCGGAAUCACUGGGCGUAAAGCGCACGUAGGCGGAUCUUUAAGUCAGGGGUGAAAUCCCGAGGCUCAACCUCGGAACUGCCUUUGAUACUGGGGAUCUCGAGUUCGGGAGAGGUGAGUGGAACUGCGAGUGUAGAGGUGAAAUUCGUAGAUAUUCGCAAGAACACCAGUGGCGAAGGCGGCUCACUGGCCCGAUACUGACGCUGAGGCACGAAAGCGUGGGGAGCAAACAGGG